GAGGAAAGGUUAAGUUUUAAUAGAGCUUAGCUGUUGACGUUCCUUACAGAAGAAGCACCGGCUAACUCCGUGCCAGCAGCCGCGGUAAUACGGAGGGUGCGAGCGUUAAUCGGAAUUACUGGGCGUAAAGCGUACGCAGGCGGUUUGUUAAGCGAGAUGUGAAAGCCCCGGGCUCAACCUGGGAACUGCAUUUCGAACUGGCAAACUAGAGUGUGAUAGAGGGUGGUAGAAUUUCAGGUGUAGCGGUGAAAUGCGUAGAGAUCUGAAGGAAUACCGAUGGCGAAGGCAGCCACCUGGGUCAACACUGACGCUCAUGUACGAAAGCGUGGGGAGCAAACAGGAUUAGAUACCCUGGUAGUCCACGCCGUAAACGAUGUCUACUAGAAGCUCGGAUCCUCUGAUCUGUUUUUCAAAGCUAACGCAUUAAGUAGACCGCCUGGGGAGUACGGCCGCAAGGUUAAAACUCAAAUGAAUUGACGGGGGCCCGCACAAGCGGUGGAGCAUGUGGUUUAAUUCGAUGCAACGCCAAGAACCUUACCUACACUUGACAUACAGAGAACUUACUAGAGAUAGUUUGGUGCCUCCGGGAACUCUGAUACAGGUGCUGCAUGG
rnacentral:rRNA from 1 species